rnacentral:rRNA from 1 species
GAUGAACGCUGGCGGCGUGCCUAAUACAUGCAAGUCGAGCGAACGGACGAGAAGCUUGCUUCUCUGAUGUUAGCGGCGGACGGGUGAGUAACACGUGGAUAACCUACCUAUAAGACUGGGAUAACUUCGGGAAACCGGAGCUAAUACCGGAUAAUAUUUUGAACCGCAUGGUUCAAAAGUGAAAGACGGUCUUGCUGUCACUUAUAGAUGGAUCCGCGCUGCAUUAGCUAGUUGGUAAGGUAACGGCUUACCAAGGCAACGAUGCAUAGCCGACCUGAGAGGGUGUUCGGCCAAACUGGAACUGAGACACGGUCCAGCCUCCUACGGGAGGCAGCAGUGGGGAAUCUUCCGCAAUGGGCGAAAGCCUGACGGAGCAACGCCGCGUGAGUGAUGAAGGUCUUCGGAUCGUAAAACUCUGUUAUUAGGGAAGAACAUAUGCGUAAGUAACUGUGCACAUCUUGACGGAACCUAAUCAGAAAGCCACGGCUAACUACGU